rnacentral:tRNA from 1 species
UCUCUGGUGGCUCAGUGGUAAAGAAUCUGCCUGCAAUGCAGGAGACGCAGGUUUGAUCCCUGGCUCGGGAA